UACGAAGGGGGCUAGCGUUGUUCGGAAUCACUGGGCGUAAAGGGCGCGUAGGCGGCCGAUCAAGUCGGGGGUGAAAGCCUGUGGCUCAACCACAGAAUUGCCUUCGAUACUGUUUGGCUUGAGACCGGAAGAGGUAAGUGGAACUGCGAGUGUAGAGGUGAAAUUCGUAGAUAUUCGCAAGAACACCAGUGGCGAAGGCGGCCUACUGGUCCGGUUCUGACGCUGAGGCGCGAAAGCGUGGGGAGCAAACAGG
rnacentral:rRNA from 1 species